ensembl:lncRNA
GGUAAAUAAGAGAGCAGGGGAGGAGACAAAGGUGAAGGAGACGGUGGGAGCAGUGAUACUUACCAAGCUGUUGAGUUCGGCACCCAGAGUACUUCUGAACCCAUUUCAGUUUUGGAAACUUGCUUCAAGUGCACGCGGACAGAGAAGCCCUGUUUGCAGAACAAAUGGAAGGCUCAGGAGUCUAUAGAUCAUCAUUCUCACAAGGAGAUCUUAGUUCUGUGACCAGAGACUGAGUCCACAUCCCCUGCAGUGGAAGCAUGAUGUCUUUACCUCAGGAUCACCAGGAAAAUCCCAGAAAUCAUUUGGCUGUGGUGUGGGAAAUGGACCCUUGGAAGGUGAGAAUGGAAACAGAGCUCACCAGAAGGCACCUGGUUUAGUUUUACAGAUGAAAGGAGUAAAACAGAAUGAUUGGGAAGCAAGCCCCGGGGUGCAGCUAGUAACUGGAGUUUCUGCCCAGAAGACCUGUCCUCCCCCAAGCGCCCCUGCCCACGUGGUCCAUGUUGGUGCCUUCGGAUGGAGCGGUGGCCCUCAGAUUCCUGGGUUCUCACA